rnacentral:rRNA from 1 species
GACGAACGCUGGCGGCGUGCUUAACACAUGCAAGUCGAACGGAAAGGCCCUGCUUUUGUGGUGUUCUCGAGUGGCGAACGGGUGAGUAACACGUGAGUAACCUGCCCUUGACUUUGGUAUAACUUCAGGAAACUGGAGCUAAUACCGUAUAGGAGCUCCUCCUCCGUGGUGGGGGUGGGAAAGUUUCGGCGGGUGGGGAUGGACGGGCGGCUGAUCGACUUGUUGGUGGGGUAGUUGCUUGCCAAGGCUUUGACGGGUAGCCAGCCCGAGAGGGUGGACGGGCACAUUGGGACUGAGAUACGGCCCAGACUCGUACGGGAGGCAGUAGUGGGGAAUCUUGUACAAUGGGAGGAAGUCUGAUGCAGCAACGUCGCGUGCGGGAUGACGGCUUGUGGGUUGUAAACAGCUUUAGCCUGUGACGAAGCGGGAGUGACGGUAAUGGGUAAAGAAGCACCGGCUAACUACGUG